rnacentral:rRNA from 1 species
UACGUAGGGGGCAAGCGUUGUCCGGAAUUAUUGGGCGUAAAGAGCGCGUAGGCGGCCCGGUAAGUCGGUUGUGAAAGUCGGGGGCUCAACCCUCGGAUGCCGAUCGAUACUGUCGGGCUAGAGUCCGGAAGAGGCGAGUGGAAUUCCUGGUGUAGCGGUGAAAUGCGCAGAUAUCGUGAGGAAGACCAGUGGCGAAGGCGAGUUUCUGGACAGUAACUGACGCUGAGGCACGAAGGCCAGGGGAGCAAACGGG